rnacentral:lncRNA from 1 species
CAAAGGCAAUUGCCACAAGAGGUCAACGCCAAGGCUGCUCUGCAGAUAUGACCAGGGCUCAUUUUUUCCAUGAUCUUAGAGAAACUGGAUAAGCCCGGGGCAAAUCGGGCCCAGAGAUGAGAUGGGUGAAGUACAGACAUGAAAGAAGCAAUGCCUGGGAAGGUACUCAAGAAAAAGCAUGAUGUGGUGGGGAAGGGCUGCAGCCCAGCCCUGUGCCUGCAUCCCACGCAUUUCUACUUGAUUCCUUAGCUCCCUAAACCUUGCUUGUCUCAUCUGUAAGGUGGAGAUAAAAAUAACAGUCUUCUUUUAUUAUGUGAGUUGCAAAUGACAGAGUGCAUGUGAAGGCUCCUGGUGCCAAAAAUGUUAGCAGAAUUGAGUGGAAGCAGAGUGAACACUCACUGAGGGCCGGGAGACUUAGGAGGGAGCUGGACCCCCCGGGAUGCUUUGCUGGAUGACCACAGCUUGGGGAGGGGGCUACUGCCUUUGGAGAAUGGCAACACUAUCAUGCAGCUCAGAAGGCUGGAGUCUAAUACCCUGCUCAGCAACCAGGCAUAGUCCAUUCCAUCACAGAGCCUGGGUUCACCUUGAGGACAGUGAGAACUCAGCCCUGGCCAUGUGGAAGUCAAAGCGUGCAGCACCUACGUACAUGGACCUCACCUGUCAUCCAAGUCUCCAAACCACACUGCAAUACAAACAUCGCCAAAGUAGCAGGCUUCUCUCCUCUGGGUGACAUCCACAGGGCAGAUCUGAGCAACACUUAGUGUCUCCUGGGACCUUCCCAGCCUCGGACAGAAUGGUUGUUAGAGGAACAAGGUAAUGGUGAUAUACGCGGGACCUGCCAGUUUGUUAGGCCGGUGGCUUUAAUGGCUAUUUUGGAGGUGACAUUCCAUUAGGGGUGAUUGGACUUAAUUUUAAUGGCAGGAUGACUUAAUGUGUCAUCAUUCUCUCCUAGGCCUGAAGGUCAAUGGGAAAAGUUUCUUUCCUCCAGGAAUUACACUACAAAAUUUCCAUAACACAGCGCCAAUUUUGGUCAUGCUAAAAUAUUGAGCUGUAAGAAGUACCCUUCUGCACAAACAAGCUGGAUUUUUGGGCCUCUUGGUCCAGUCACCCUGGAGUCAGAUAACUUAGGGUGAAAUGUUGACUUCGUCACUCCCUGGCUGUGUGGCCUUAGACAACAUACUUAACCUCUCUGUGCCUCAGUUUCCUCAUCUACAGAGCUGGGUAAUCAUAGUAUGCGCUUCCUAGGGUUGUUGUGAGGACUAAUUUGGUGUGUGUAAAACCUGGAAGGGCUGCUAAGGGCUGCUAUUAUUAGCUCUCUAGGGAAAGGACCAGCAUAAGCAGUAAUUUGCCAAACACAUUCAAAGGCACUUUUGAACAGAUGGUCAGGCUAGGGUGAGGGGUUGAGGGAGGAGCAGUGGGAGGUGCGUGUGGAACGGAGGGUUGGGGUGGAUGGCAGAGGCAUAGGAAUGCCAGGCCCGUGAGUUUAAAAGGCAUCUUGAAUGACAUCCCACCACCCAGAGCACUUCUGCGCGGUUCACAAGCGAGAAAGACAAUGAGAAAGUAGUAUUUUUGGAGGAUCUUUGCUGACAGCAGGAAUGAAAAGAAAUAAAUAUAUAUGAGAGCCAUUAUGAAGGGAACCCUGCAGGACCUCGCGGCUAAUUGGAUGUGGGGCUGAGGGAGCAGGAGGAGUCUAGGGUGACUUUGAGGUGUGGAGUGAGGUGACUCACAGAAGAUAGUGUCGUCGCUGGCACUAGAAAGCCACCAGAGGAGCUGGUUUGGAGGGAGGAGGAUGGAUUCAUUGGUUUUAGGCAUGUUGCACGGGAUACUGUAGCCAGGAGCCAGGGUCUGGCCCUCGGGAACUGGGUCAGGGUUGGGAUGGAGACUUGGCCAUCAUCUGCAGAGAUAAGCAGGGUUUCUCUGUCUUUGAGAGUGAGUAGAGUGAGGGGGAAGCAUAGAAAAUUGAGGACAGAUACAGGGAACACUGGCAGGGGCUAAAACUGACAAAGGAAGAGGAGAUCGCGAAGAAGGCAAAGAGAAGGCUGGAAGAGAGCAGUGCCUGGAGGAAGCAGGAACAGGUGUCUGUGGGCAUGACUCAGGGGAGGAAAGUUGUUAGAUGCUGCAGAGGCCAAGAGGGGCCACGCAGGUAGGAGCCGCUGGGAUCAGCCCUGGGUAGCCUGUGCAGAGGCAGCCUGGGUGGACCAUGGAGAUGUGAAUACCAGCUGGAAGGCAAGUCUGAGGUGCCUCAUACAAGUGGAAUCAUUCAGCAGUUGUCUUUUUGCAUAUUGCCUGUCCAAAACUUUUUGAAUGGAAAGAAGUAUGUUUUACAGAAACAGGAAAGUCCCAGCCUUGUCUCUGACUGCUUCACCCCUUGGUUCAGCCCAGUGAAAGCUGGUCAACUUUCCUUAAUGCUCUGAGAUCCGUAAUAGCACAACCAUUUUAGUAUCUUUCUCUGAAGACUGCAACACGCUGUCAUGAUAUUAGUCAACUCAAGUCAACUGACAUUAUUAUAGUGCUUAUGAGGCUGCUCCUGCCUGAAAGCCCUUCACUGCCUCCCUGGGGUGUGGGUGGAGGAUGAGAUAAGCAGCUCACAAGUGGGACAGAACCCUGGCUCUGCGGAAAGCCCAGCUGGCUGCCACGGGUGGCAUGUUUCUCGGGGCUUCCUGUGUGAGCGCAUAGACAGCCCUGCUAGUCCCUCAGCCCAGAUGCCUGCCAGAAACCCAAGCCCUGAGGAUGCCCCUCCAGAUGUGUGCUGUGAACUGAGCUUUCUGAAAUCCUUCUCCUGGGGCCAGACACUCAUCAAAGCGCCAACUCUAUCGCAGACUGCAUUUGAGUCACCUGUUAUGUUUGAGAUCCGCCCUGUGUUGGGAGCUGAAACCUGUUGGCUGGUCUUGCUGGGGUUAGGGAAGGGCCUGAAGUCUGGAAGAGGACUAGGUCAAGUUUCCUGCUGUACUUCUGAGGUCCUGGACGUGAAGCCGAAAUGCUGCAGCUCACAGCCAGUGUGGUCAGCCGAAUGGGAGUCAGCUCUGGGCGGCUUAUUGCCAUGAACAAAGGAGCUCAGUUGCUGGGGUUCACCUCCUAUCCCAUCAGAAUACAAGCUGCACUGGGGCUAGAUGUCCACGGCUGUAUCCUCAGCACCUAGAAGAGAGUCUGGGACCAAGUGUGAACAUCUAUAAACCGGAGGAAACAUCUGUUGGCAGGAUAUUUAGUAUAGCAAUAUCUUUGGAUAAAAUAAUCAACAAACAAAAUUAUGUUGUUGGAAACCAGAAAACGACACCACUGAUGAAUGUACUUAGGCUACUUAAUCAAGAAAUAGUCGCAAUGAUUCUACUUCUGUCUUCUUUUUUAAAAAAAAUUUAAUUAGUUGUUUUAUUUUAGAAUAGCAUUACUGAUUACCUUUCUUCCCUGGAAAUUAACACAUUUCGUAGAGACUUAAGGAUGCAUCAAUGAAAUACUUAGAAUUGAAAGAGGAAAUGAAUUACUUGAUUUCUCAGGAUGUGUGUGUCUAUUGGUGCUCUAGCACAGUUAAAUGCUAAUAUUGCCACUGAAAACUGAUGCAACUUUUGUGAAGCAACAG